UCAGACUACAGAUCAUUCUCACAGAAUGAAUGUUUUAAUUAUUUUUUCAUGUUAAUGUCACUAGUCUGGAGAACUGCAGGCUUUCAGGAGUUAAAACAAAAUACAAUCACUUUGAUUUCUUUUCCUAGUUAACAUACAGCAAGUACUGUUUUCAGGUUUGAACUACAAAAAACUGCAUAAUCUUUACAUUCAACCACCUUUUCUUGUUUAACUUCAACAAACAGAAUGUAGGGAAACGUCUCCAAUUCUCUGAAAUCCCAACCUGUGGCCCACAUGAACAGAACAUCCCUCUUCAGGAUUCACAAGACACUCUGGAAAUGCAAGCACUUUACAUAACUAAGUGCCUAUUAAUUUGGUCGCUGCAUACACCCACACUGCCAGGAUGCAAGAAGGGAUUCUCUAGUGCAGACAGCAGUGCUGAAGCACAGAGCUGAAAGCAUUUGGUACUAGAACACAAAAGAACGUUGCUUAUCUACACUAAAUAAACGGCAACGUUAACUGCGUACUGGAAGAUUACGUUUUAUGCUUUUUCACUAUUUUUCACAUGCUACCAUGUUUUAGUUGACAAAGAAUUGUUUAAAAAAUAACAACAUAAGACACCCAACAUUUUCAUUCUCCUGCUGCAUCUUACUCUUCAUUUUAAAAGUGGAGAUUUUUUCAGUGCUUUCAUCGCUUUGACAAAAAGAAACGGUCAAGAGAAAUGUCAUGACCAGCACAAGUUGGGGAUAUCAUCCAACCUGAUUGACAGCAAACCCAAGUACACUCAGCCUAACCAGGAAGAAGAGCAUUAUCAGCUCUAAACUGCAAGAGGAAAACAAGCGCUUUGCACCUGGCUCAGAGCUGUACAAUCAACAGUGAUGCCACACACAGGUAGUGGAGAUCUUGACUCCCACUGCAAACUGUACUUCUCCAGAGGUACCACCUUCAAGUUUGUGACUCUAAGAGUCAAGAUGUUUGGGGAGGGAAGCUCUGAUACUAGCCAUGUAUUUUCCUGGCAGAGCUCCAGGAGCUAGAACAGCAAACACAUCACCCAGACAGGUUCUGUGACAUUCUGUGUUUAUACUAACACAGACCAUCAUACCAUCAGGCCCUUCAUCACCAUGCACCACCGGUGCAUGCCAUUAACUUUUAAUUCUCCCCCUCUGUGCCUGUUGUUACCUGUGAGAUGCUCUUCCAAGAGCUCAUGAUAGUUGCAGACCUGCUUUAUUCCCCUGCACAGACUUCUCCCGUUUUAACUGCCCCUAUCCACAAACAGAAGAUCAAAGUUCAGUCCUGGAGAUUUGUUUGCUUUACCCGCUCCUGCAGUGAGGUUCGGCAGGCAGUAAAUGACCGGGUGCUUUUAACAUUUCCUAUAAUUUACUUGUUUGGCAUUGCAAAUUCUGUGGCUGUUGAUGCUUUAUGACAGUUGAGCUACACACUGUCCCCACACGUACUUCUAAGGAACACCGAUGGGAAAAGCUCUGCAAAAGCUAAGGGGUGGGUGGAAACUAGGGCCAUCAACUCACCACAGGCUUUGGCAUCUUCUCUGCUACCUCCUUAUCUUUUUCCUUACUUCAAAAUACAAAAAAAUAUUGUUCAGGAAUUGUAUCCUGCAUUAUUGGGAAGCACUUCUCCCUGUGAAAGAAAGCAGCAGCUCACUUCUGGAAAUAGUUGGUGCAUCCAAUCAAAAACUCACGCUCACUUGACAAGAGGAUAGAGAAAAGGGCACUGAUGGGAGAACUACUUGAAAGAGAGACAAACUGCCAUAAAAAGUGUCCCAGAGACAUCAAGACACAACCACCUAGGAACAAACCCGCUCUUUACAAUCAGACAUCCCCCACAUGGCUGUUAACAGCCCAGACACAUUAACUAGGAGCACCUGGGUAACAGCCAAAAUAAAACACAUCCAGAUCUGUACCUACACGAAGACCUAUGCUUUACAUCCUUCUCACUCCUAGAGCGCAGCUAAAUGUGUGGCACUUGGGAACUUAAGAGCACCUCUUGCUUUAAAAAGCAGAUUUGCUGAUACACGGAACUGCAGCCCUCUACUCAGCCUUCCCGAGCUGCUUUAGCACCUUCUUCAAAGCUGCCUGCAAUUAGGUCCCUUGUUAGAAGAGAAAUAAUAUUACUUGAAACCCAAACCCCAUGUGAUUGUGCCCCAGAGGCGAUGCCUGCAGAACGAUGGAGGAGGUCAGCAGCACCACUGCAAACGCUUCCUGUAAUUUCAGAGAAGCGGAGGAGAGAAAGGAUGGGUGAAAUCCCGCGGCAGCUGCCGGAGGAGCGAAGGGAGAGAAGCGAGCCUGGAGACAGCCAACGAUGUAGGAAUCUCUGCUACCCUAAAAAAUAAUGAAAAAAAAAAAAGGAGCCAGGGUAGAAGCCUGUAGGAGUAGAAAUUAACACUUGGACAAUCGUCUUCCGUGCCUUCUGGUUUCUGCCUUGAGUUUAAAAGCAGACAGGCUUUCACUGGAUGUCAUUGUUAAAACAAGUUUUACGAUCCUCUGUGGCAUGACUUGACAUCUUAAUACGCGGGGUUGGCAACGCAAGAAAGUUCUGUUAUGUAAUUAAUCUCGGAUGAUUUCUAAGUAUUAAUUCGGAUGCAAGCUGAUUCAGAUAGCCCAAACCCUGGACCACAGGGGAAGAUGGGAAUUUCGUCAAAUUGACACCAAAGGGCCGGAGUUAGCAAUGGUCUUAUUUAAAGCCUUCACGCAGAUGAAUCCAGAGGAAGCUGCAAUUAUUCCUCUCCUUUAAAGAAUCACAAGAGCAAGUAAACAGCACAGCAUGUGACUGAGACAAUUCUGCCAUUCCUAUUAAUUAAGUGUAAAAUAGUGAAAACAAAGGAUAUUAUUAAACAUGUCAACAGAAAAUUAAAGCAGGGGCUGAUUCUUGAUGAACUGAGAGACAAAAAAAAGAAAUCUAAAGAAAAAAAAUAAUCUGAAACAGCUUCACUGAGGAGAACUCCCAAGAACAGGAACACCAGAAGAAGCAAACCAAGCAUAAAUUUACAAUAUAUGGGGCCCAGAUUGCAAAAAAUACCCACACAAGAGUCUAUUUGUUUUAUAUGCUGAAUUGCUGCUUCAGGAUGGGAACAGAUCCGCUCUACGCAGCAUGUGUGCAAUAGCACCUCGACUAUGGCUCUGAAUCCUGCGCCUUUGACAGACAAAGUGCACAAAGUUGCCAACCA